CGAACCCUUUCGGAACUGGUUAGGAAUGGGCACCACUAUCCCAGCCCGGAUCUAGCCAGGUUCUAUUGAUCAUGUCCCUUUCCCAACAGUUAUACCUUGUCUUGGGGCGUCUUUGGCUUUACGAGAGAAAGCCCGCUGGAGAAAAAAAGUCUUUCUCUUCCCGUCCCGGAUCAUAUUCUGGUGCGUCCACAGAAGAGGAAAUCGCAAUGCAUCUUGCUCAGCAAACGUA
rnacentral:lncRNA from 1 species